UUGAUGGAUGAAACCAUCAGGAAAAACCAGAGAAUGAAGCUAUGAAAAGAGUUAGUUAACCACCUAAGUAAAACCAUCAGCGCCAUUUUAGAACGGGGUCUACAGCUUAUACUAAACCUCUGUUUCCAUAACUGCAUUCUCCGG